UUUCAGUCAUCAGACCUAGAAAAGUAAGGAGGACCAACCAAAGCCUGAAGAGGGUGUGAAGUUUUGCCUUUAGCUACAAUGUCAUCAGGAAGUUACAAAGAUGUUUUGUAAAAGCACCUGGAUGCCUCCUGGACUCCUAAAACUCUCCUCUGAAAACAAUUUGGCAUCUACCAACAGUCAGAUUGUAGUACAUCACACUUCAUUCAAGUACAAAGUAAAUGAAAUAUUCAGAGCUACUGGAAA